rnacentral:rRNA from 1 species
AUUGAACGCUGGCGGCAGGCCUAACACAUGCAAGUCGAACGAGUGGCGGACGGGUGAGUAAUGUAUGGGAAAGUGCCCGAUGGCGGGGGAUAACUACUGGAAACGGUAGCUAAUACCGCAUACUAUUAGAUCUGCCCAGAUGGGAUUAGCUUGUUGGUGGGGUAACGGCUCACCAAGGCGACGAUCCCUAGCUGGUUUGAGAGGAUGACCAGCCACACUGGAACUGAGACACGGUCCAGACUCCUACGGGAGGCAGCAGUGGGGAAUAUUGCACAAUGGGCGAAAGCCUGAUGCAGCCAUGCCGCGUGUAUGAAGAAGGCCUUCGGGUUGUAAAGUACUUUCAGCGGGGAGGCGUUACCCGCAGAAGAAGCACCGGCUAACUCCGUGCCAGCCGCCGCGGUAAUAC